AAGGGCACCACAAGAACGCGUGGAGCAUGUGGCUUAAUUUGACUCAACGCAGGAAAUCUUACCGGGUCCGGACACACUGAGGAUUGACAGGUGUACUCACACACACAUAUAUUUUAUAUAUGUGUGUGUGUGAGAAAAUAUGCUAGUCCUUUCAUGAUUAUGUGAUAGGUGGUGCAUGGCCGUUCUUAGUUCGUGGAGUGAUCUGUCUGCUUAAUUGCGUAUCACUAAACGUGCAUACAUAUAUGUGUGUUGUGCGUUAAUUUAUAUAUUUCACGAUAUAUAUUUUGACCCUUCGCACAUAUCUGCGCGUUGAUAGCAACGAACGUGACCGUAACCUCUUGUUGCCUUUUUACACACACACAGUGUCGUGUCUCACGUCACUGUGUGUCAAAAAGUGCUAACUAGAGGGACCGCUGUUUCCUUUUUUUAAACCAGAGGAAGGUUACGGCAAUAACAGGUCUGUGAUGCCCUUAGAUGUUCCGGGCCGCACACGUGCUACAAUGAUUAUUGCAGUGAGUAUCUCGAUUUAGACAAUAUUGUUUGAACGCGUCACGUAUAUAGAAAUAUAUGCGUUGUAUUGCGUACACAAUACUGCCUGCUUCGAAAGUUCGCGGGUAAUCAAUUAGCAACAAUGAUUUCCGUAUUAAGCACACAUAUAUGUGAUGGUUUUACCCACACAGUACUUUGUGACUGUGUUGUGCGUAUUAUCACUCGCAUGUGCAAUUGUCAAUUCANGGUGGGGACAGACUAUUGUUAAUUUUUAGUCUCGGUCUCAACUAGGAAUGCCUUGUACUGGUUAGUUCAUCAAACUACCAGGAAUACGUCCCUGCCCUUUGUACACACCGCCCGUCGCUCUUACCGAUGAACUAUACUGUGAGUUUAUUGGACGACACUCUCGCACAGUAUCUGUGCGUUGUGACGAAAAAUAAACAAACAGUGUGGUUUAAAGGAAAGAGAAGUCGAACAAGGC
rnacentral:rRNA from 1 species